AGUGAACGCUGGCGGUAGGCCUAACACAUGCAAGUCGAACGGCAGCACAGGAGAGCUUGCUCUCUGGGUGGCGAGUGGCGGACGGGUGAGGAAUACAUCGGAAUCUACUCUGUUGUGGGGGAUAACGUAGGGAAACUUACGCUAAUACCGCAUACGACCUACGGGUGAAAGCAGGGGACCUUCGGGCCUUGCGCGAUUAAAUGAGCCGAUGUCGGAUUAGCUCGUUGGCGGGGUAAAGGCCCACCAAGGCGACGAUGCGUAGCUGGUCUGAGAGGAUGAUCAGCCACACUGGAACUGAGACACGGUCCAGACUCCUACGGGAGGCAGCAGUGGGAAUAUUGGACAAUGGGCGCAAGCCUGAUCCAGCCAUACCGCGUGGGUGAAGAAGGCCUUCGGGUUGUAAAGCCCUUUUGUUGGGAAAGAAAUCCAGCUGGCUAAUACCCGGUUGGGAUGACGGUACCCAAAGAAUAAGCACCGGCUAACUUCGUGCCAGCAGCCGCCGUAA
rnacentral:rRNA from 1 species